CCAGACUCCUACGGGAGGCAGCAGUGGGGAAUAUUGCACAAUGGGGGAAACCCUGAUGCAGCGACGCCGCGUGAGUGAAGAAGUAUUUCGGUAUGUAAGGCUCUAUCAGCAGGGAAGAAAAUGACGGUACCUGACCAAGAAGCCCCGGCUAACUACGUGCCAGCAGCCGCGGUAAUACGUAGGGGGCAAGCGUUAUCCGGAUUUACUGGGUGUAAAGGGAGCGUAGACGGCUGAGCAAGUCAGAAGUGAAAGCCCGGGGCUCAACCCCGGGACUGCUUUUGAAACUGCGGAGCUGGAGUGCAGGAGAGGUAAGCGGAAUUCCUGGUGUAGCGGUGAAAUGCGUAGAUAUCAGGAGGAACACCAGUGGCGAAGGCGGCUUACUGGACUGUAACUGACGUUGGGGCUCGAAAGCGUGGGGAGCAAACAGGAUUAGAUACCCCCGUAG
rnacentral:rRNA from 1 species